rnacentral:rRNA from 1 species
UACGGAGGAUGCAAGCGUUAUCCGGAAUGAUUGGGCGUAAAGGGUCCGCAGGUGGCAGUGUAAGUCUGCUGUCAAAGAAUGAGGCUUAACCUUAUCAAGGCAGUGGAAACUACACAGCUAGAGUACGGUCGGGGGUAGAAGGAAAUUCCUGGUGUAGCGGUGAAAUGCGUAGAGAUCAGGAAGAACACCGGUGGCGAAAAGCGUUUCUGCUAGACCUGUACUGACAUGAGGGGACGAAAAAGCUAGGGGGGAGCGAAAUGGGG